rnacentral:misc_RNA from 1 species
GGGAAAAAACUGAACUCUGAUCUAUUAUAGGUUUACCAUGGUCUACCAAUAUUUGCUUUGGCUAAAUAUUAUAUCCACAUAUGUCUAGAUAAGCACAGAUUUCUGUCUUUUAUAUUUAAUCAAUCCUGAAUCCUGUUCUGCAUAUAUUGGCAAAACAGGUUCAAAUGCAACUUCCAUUGCACACGUCAUUGGCUUUAUUCUAAAUCCAAUCUAGUGUAAGAGAGCAUAUAAUUAAGCAUAAGCAGGGGAUUGAUGCCUCAAAGUUGGUGGAUGUUGCAUCUUUCCUGUGCCAGUGCCUUACCAGUCCAUCAGAACACAACUAAUAAUCUAAUAUCUUUAGAAAGCAUUAGGGGAUUGAU